AAUUGAUCUGUCAAAAUUAAGGGGAAUUAACAAGGUAACUUGCCAGAAUAUUCAUCAUGUUGAAUGUGGGCAGUAUUUGGAAGAAGAAGAAGAAGUCACAUUCAUUACAUUUAUGCAGAAUAUCGUCGAUCCUUCCUUUUGAUCCUGGUUUUACUGUACACUGUACAAAGACUGUGUGAUUGAGUUAUUGAUAUAGCACACGUAUACCUCCUCAAAUGUUCACGAAAAAUAAACUCAUUAUUAUUGCGUCUGCGCCAUUUUGUAAUUUGUUGAGAACUGGUGCAAUAACGACCAGUUUGAAGAUAAAACACGGCGGAAUAAAAAGAAUCAAUGGAAUUUUUUUCAGAAAUAUUCAGAUGCAGUUUACAGUUCUGUACCCAUAUGUUGCUUUUUACAGUAUUUUGCACAUGUUCUGCAGUUAACGUUCAGUGGCAGGCAAAAUUUCCCGUAAUUUUUGGAAAUGUAACGUAUCUUCAGUGCAAUAUAUCAGACACAGCGUUCAACUGUACAAACAAAGAUCGUCAGUGGAUUGGCGGUCCUAAGUAUGAUGGGCUUUGUUAUGAAGAUGAAUGUCCAACUUCUAAAAAGUAUCAAGUGAUGAAACAAGCUAAAUGUUUGUACACAUUAAUGAUUUACAACUUUUCGGAAAGCGAUGUCAACUGUGAAUAUACAUGCCUCUAUGGUGCAUCGAAAAUGCGACGAAAUUUAACUCUUGACGAAAAUAAGUUUAUAUAUGUCCCACUUGAAAGAGAUAUUUCGCAAGAGUAUGUGAAACACGACAAGACAAUAACUUUUCGAACUAAUAUAAGCAAGAUUUAUCCAGAACCAUCAUGUGUUGCUGAUUUUAAUGGAGAAAAUAUUACAAAUGAUAUGAAGAUUUCAGUAACUAAACCGGGGUUUUACUUUGCAACUGAUCUACAAGUAAACCACAAUGUGUCAUCAUGUGGGAUCAUUAGAGUUUCUUGUAAUUUCGGAGGACGCACAGUCAGCAGGAAUGUCGAUGACUGUCAAGGGAGUAAAAAAAGGAAUGAUAUUUCUACUUGGAUGGUGGUUGGUGUUAUAUUUGGUGUAGUUAUAUUGUUGAUAGCAAUGAUUGUGCUUUAUUUGCAAUUGAUUUGUUAUCGAAGAAAAAAAACAGAAAAAGGGAGAGUGAAAAGUGACAGUGAAGACGGAAGUACAAUACCUAUGCACCCACAAAACCUGCCGUAGAAGUCUAGGAAGCCGACAUAACUUUCAGUUUACAUUUCAUCAACUAAGAUAAUUCUGCAUAAAUACAUCCGACCUGAAUGAUUGUAUGCUAAUCCUGAUUCACCUUCAGCAGCAAAAGAAUGUUUUCACUGUAAACGAACUUUAAUUUGUCAACCCCUGCCGGAGAAGACACACCAGAAAAACUCGUUUUGUUUGAGCAAUUUUGUUUUUCCGCGAGGACAUCAAUAUAUCGGUGAAUGUGAAACUUACGAUAUGGCUAUAACAUUGUUCAAAGCUGUGUUUGUUCGACCGAAAACCAAAGUAGUGGCUAGGCACUUCUUGAUAUCAUACAGACACCAGUCAUGUAUGACACCCUACUAGUUUCUACAAGAGCUACACAUCUUGUCAAAGGACUGUAGUUUUCACUAGUAACGGCCGAUAAUUACAAGAAAUGAUACAUAAGGGACGCCUUUAUAAAUGGAUUAUACUAACAAAUAUUUCGACAGUGUUUGUUAGAAAAUAAACUCUUGACCUUGAAACAAUGUUUGAUCAGACACGGACAUUAGAUUUAGCUCAACGCAGUAAUGAAGUGUAUGUUCAACCAUAUUCUGUGACAGACGCUAAGGUUGAAACAAAAGUGCUUCUUUUUUGGGAAUAAUGCUCAUGCAAGAUGUGUGUGUCCCGCAAAAGGAUGCCACUUCUCGUAUUUGUGGUAAAAAUGACAUUUUCGAAAGUCUGUAAAUCUAACACAACAAAGUCUGGAACAUUUGCCUCUUGUUCUAUAUAAGCAAUUGUGAGUAAUGCAUCGCCGCAUGUUUAGAGAUAGACAAUUAGCUUAAUUGAUAUCAGCAAUAACUAUAAAUGACGCUACUGGUAGUGUAUCACUGACAUUCAAUGCUCUAAGUAGGAAUUUGCAAUGUAAACUUGCACAUUGAUCGAAAUUUCUAUCCAAAUAUGCAGUUGUCUCACUUAAACAAAAACCGGUUGUGACAUUAUCUUAGGACAUGACUUCAUGAAAAGACACCAUAGUAUCAAAAUAAGUUUCGGUGGUAGCAGACCAGCCGUCGAAAAUAAUUAUCUAAAUACAUUUGUAGUCUAGCUGCUCAAACUUUUGAUCCCCCUGAAUUAUUUGCAAACUUGAUAUGUGAAUUUCGACAUAUUGCUACAAAAUCAUGGAAGUUCAGUGCAGUCGAUAGCAAAGUACCGUUUGUACCAAUUUCGAAGAGUCAUAUUUGCAUUGGCGUUGCGAAUGGAGUUGCUUGUUUUCAAAGAGUCAUUGUCUAGUUACUGAAUACAAAUUAGAAGCAGUAUUAGUGUAUAUCGAUGAUAUCACAAUAGGAGAAAUGGACAAAACGAAAAAGAUGAAAACUUUCGUAGAUUUCUUGAUGUUGCAGACUAACAUGAGUUGUCAUUUAAUAAGAAUAAAUGUUUGAAUUCGGUCUAGUCAGUCUACUUGGAUAUACCAUCAGGCAUUGUGUUGUACGACCUGACUCUGAUCUAAUGAAGCCACUAGGAGAACUCCCUGUUCCCCAAAGUACUAAAUCGAUAAAAAGAGCCUUAGGAAUGUUUUCUUAUUAUUGUCAAUGGAUUUCAAGAUUCUCGGACAAAAUUAAACCUUUAGUUAAUGGUACUUUUUUCCGUGAUACUAUAUUGGAGUGAAAGCAUUCGAUGAUCUGAAAUCCGAUCUUGGAAACGCAAGUAUGAGUGCAAUUAAAAAAGCUAUUCUUUUUUGUCGUAAAAACCGAUGACAAGCAUUCUGCAGUAGCCAGAAAUCUCAAUCAGGGCGGAAGGCCUGUUGCUUUUUUUUCGAUAACUUUCAAUGCUCAUGAAUUCACCUGUAAAAAGGGGGAACAUGUGCAACAGUAGAAGCUAAUCGCAAGUGAAGAAAUUUACUUAUUGGGAAACACUUCACUAUUGUCACUAUUUAAUGGCAAACACUUCACUCUUGUCACUGAUCAGAAAGCAGUUCCUUAUAUGUUUGAUACAUAGAAGAAGCACGUAAACUGAAAAAUGACAAAUGAAUUCGAUGGAGAACUGAAUUGAGCUGCGACAGCUAGAAUGUAAAAUAUCGUCCUGGACGAGACAAUGCGUAGGCAAAUGCUUCUUAUGAGUCUACUGCUCCUCAGUCAGCUCAGAUCCCUUUCUGAAUUGUGCAGUGCGUUUUGUUAUCCGGGCAUCAAUCGAUGUCUUGACAAUGAACGUUGCUUGAUGACGUCAAGAAAACAAUUUAACAGUGUCAGAUUUGUGCAAAAGUGAAUCUCAGUAUGCUUCACCGAAUGCAUUACAUGUUUGGAAAACUACACAUCAUUUGAACGCUUACGCAUUGACUUAAGGGUCAUUGUCGUCUGUUAGUACGAAGAAGUAUAUUCUUAGCGUUGUUGACGUGUACCUAAGAUUCACAAUUGCCUUUUCUAGUUCCAAUAUGACAAGCGCAACUGUUAUUCAGUGUUAAUGACAGGGUUUGUUUUUUAUUGUAUGCUUGCUUAUAUUCACUCCGACUGUGGUUGAUAUUUCAUGAGCGCAAUGCACUCAAAACUUGUUCUACAAUCACAUGGAAAAGAUAUACUAGCAGGACAAUGCCCAAAGACUACAUAGUAAUGGUCAAUGAGUACACUAUGAUGGUUUUAUCUUGAAAGCUGUUACUCAAGCAUUAGAAUCUUUGGAGCUUAAAGAGAUUCAGUGGGAGAUUGUAUUGCCAGAUGAACUGCACUCUGUUUUGUUAUGUACUUCAUUAAACUGUACUCACAAGGUUUUUCAUUUUUACAAGAAUAUUGUUUUCUGGCCAACCCUUUCCGUCUUGGCUACCCAGCCUGGACCGGUUUUAAUGGGAAAAAUAACAUACAUGUAUGCGUGCGACUAAGUAUGAUCCUCUCGUCGAGGAAGUAGAUUUUUGGAAAGAUCCAUCUUAUCCUCCUAUUAGAUUGUGUGAUAGACGCGAAACAACUGUUUCUAUCCGUGCUAUUAGUGCUAACAUGACAACAAAUAAACAAUGCCAAUCUUGAUCAUUCAGUAUUAACGAUAUAACAACAGACAUCGAUUAAUGCGUGUAUUUCGGUUUUGAAACUGCAACACGAGAAAAUACCAGCAACAUGGACAACUGUGUUGAAACGUCUCAAGGUGGUAGACGAUCUACACGUUAGAUUAAGAAACCAUGAAGAUAUAGAUUUGACGAUUAUCUGAACAUUUGUAUUGAACUAUUAGUUGACUUUAAGUGGGGAUGAAUGUUAUAUAUAAUGUUAAUUAGGUUUUGUGGUAGUUAGUCAUUAUUAAUAGACAUUAUAACAUUUCCUUUUCCCUUUUAUGUAGACUCCUGACUCAUAGAUGAUAGCUUUGAUAUUAGUUGAUGAAUAAAACAUAUAUCUACUUA